UCACCCCAAAACCUCAUCAAAGAGAGUUUAAGUAGCCUGUUCCAGGGCACACAACUAAGAAGUCAUGACAGGAUAUGAAGUUGGCAGUAACUUACCCUGUCCUGGAGUAGAACAUCUGAAUUCCAUGACCAUUCACUUAAGCAGGGAGAAAGGAAGACAGAAGAGACAUUCAGUAGUCAAUGCCUGGCAGAGAUAUUUGAUACAGUGACUUCCAAAGAAGCAUUGGGAAGACUGGAGAAUUCCUUGUUCAGACUCUAGAAGAGGGCUUUCCUAGCAGAGCCACUCCUGCAGGAGCAAAUAGAGGCUGGCACACAGGAGAUUCCAUUUGUCUCGAAUGCACAUGAGCUGAAACCAAGGGGCAUCCAAACGGGUGAAUCUGGCAGCCAAAGGCAACGUGUUUAGAUGAACAUGUGGAUC